GCGGGGGUGCCCGAGCCAGGUUAAAGGGGGCGGUUCGGAUCCGCUGGCGUAGGCCUGCCCGGGUUCGAAUCCCGGCCCCCGCACCA
rnacentral:tRNA from 1 species